rnacentral:piRNA from 1 species
UGAUUGAACGUGCUUUUGGGUCCUCCCUUGU